UCAAGAUUGUUGUUUCUUCUUUUAACAUCAGCAAGAAGUCUGAUGGAUACUCAGUCUCCAAGAUGACUGAUAACCCGGUUGUUUUGUCCGAGCUUGAUAAACAUUUUGACACUAUUCAGCCUAUUGAUGAGGAAGCCGUCAAUGUCGAACCAUCCGAUUCAAAUCGUAAUGAUGAUUUGCCUGUUAAGGAUUCUAUAUCCCAAACGGGAGACGAUGUAACCCCUUGCUCAAAUGUGUUUAAAGUUGGCUUUACAACAUCGUU